rnacentral:rRNA from 1 species
UACGAAGGGGGGCUAGCGUUGUUCGGAAUUACUGGGCGUAAAGCGCGCGCAGGCGGCCAUUCAAGUCAGGGGUGAAAGCCCAGAGCUCAACUCUGGAACUGCCCCUUGAAACUGUAUGGCUUGAGUAUGAGAGAGGUGAGUGGAAUUCCCAGUGUAGAGGUGAAAUUCGUAGAUAUUGGGGAAGAACACCGGUGGCGAAGGCGGCUCACUGGCUCAGUCACUGACGGCUCGAGGCGCGACAGCGUGGGGAUCAAACAGG